UACGGAGGGAGCUAGCGUUGUUCGGAAUUACUGGGCGUAAAGCGUGCGCAGGCGGCGCGUUAAGACAGGUGUGAAAGCCCCGAGCUUAACUUGGGAAUUGCGCUUGUGACUGGCGUGCUGGAGUGUGGCAGAGGGAGGUGGAAUUCCACGUGUAGCAGUGAAAUGCGUAGAGAUGUGGAGGAACACCGAUGGCGAAGGCAGCCUCCUGGGCCAGCACUGACGCUCAUGCACGAAAGCGUGGGGAGCAAACAGG
rnacentral:rRNA from 1 species